rnacentral:rRNA from 1 species
AACGAACGCUGGCGGCAGGCUUAACACAUGCAAGUCGAGCGCCCCGCAAGGGGAGCGGCAGACGGGUGAGUAACGCGUGGGAAUCUACCCAUCUCUACGGAAUAACGUAUGGAAACGUGUGCUAAUACCGUAUACGUCCUUCGGGCGAAAGAUUUAUCGGAGAUGGAUGAGACCGCGUUGGAUUAGCUAGUUGGGGGGGUAAAGGCCUACCAAGGCGACGAUCAAUAGCUGGUCUGAGAGGAUGAUCAGCCACACUGGGACUGAGACACGGCCCAGACGCCUACGGGAGGCAGCAGUGGGGAAUAUUGGACAAUGGGCGCAAGCCUGAUCCAGCCAUGCCGCGUGAGUGAUGAAGGCCCUAGGGUUGUAAAGCUCUUUCACCGGUGAAGAUAAUGACGGUAACCGGAGAAGAAGCCCCGGCUAACUUCGUGCCAGCCGCCGCGGUAACAC